rnacentral:tRNA from 1 species
GGGCCGGUCAGCUCAGUAGUUUGAGCGCGGUGCAAACAAGGACCAACACCGAGGUCGCAGGUUCGAUUCCCGCUCAGUCCC